rnacentral:rRNA from 1 species
UACGAAGGGGGGCGAGCGUUGUUCGGAUUUACUGGGCGUAAAGGGCGCGUAGGCGGGCGGCCAAGUCAGGGGUGAAAGCCCCCAGCUCAACUGGGGAAGUGCCUUUGAUACUGGCUGUCUCGAGCGAGGUAGGGGCGUGCGGAACUUCCGGUGGAGCGGUGAAAUGCGUAGAUAUCGGAAGGAACACCGGUGGCGAAAGCGGCGCGCUGGACCUCUUCUGACGCUGAGGCGCGAAAGCCAGGGGAGCAAACGGG